CCAGUACAAACUGAGCAGGCCGGGGCAGGUGCUCUGGAGCCGGGCCGCCCCGCGAGCGGCAGCAGAUGAGACGAACAUCUGUGGGACAGUG
rnacentral:ncRNA from 12 species